UCCCUUCCUUGUUCUUCCUCUUUCUCCUCUUUCUCUGUAGUUGUGCUACAUCAUUAAGUGUCUACCAUAUCAUUGUAAUUGAUUCGAAACAUUCUACAAAAAUCAGAUUGUUUAACUUAACUGUGUGCAGAGAAACCAUACCUGUGUGUACAAAACGGUAAACUGUGUGCGCAAAACAGAAAAUUGUGUUUCGGGGUUAAUUAACUGUGUGUAUUGGUUAAUUGAGUGUGUUUCGAGCUUAAUCGACUAUGCGCCAUGCUAGGAUAAGUCUUGGCUCACAAGAACAACCUAUAUCAAGUGUCUACCACGUUGUUGUAACUGAUUCGAAAUAUUCUACCAAAAUCAGAUAGCUUAACUAAACUAUGUGUACAAAAACUAUAUCUAUGUGUAUGGAACGGUAAACUGUGUACACAAAACAGAAAAUUGUGCCAGGCUAUAUUAAGUGUUAAAACAUUGAUUAAUUAUG
rnacentral:lncRNA from 1 species